rnacentral:lncRNA from 1 species
GCCUUCCCGGAGCUCCGCCCAUCUUUCCCGACCUCUUGCCACCCCCAUCCCUCUCUAUUUCUCUCUGUUUUGUAGCGAACCAGCAACCCCGUCGUGUGGGUUUCCAGCCGGUUCGUGGUUGAUUUCGGGCAAUUUCUGGGCCCCGAACCCGAGGCCCGCUUUGGAGUUUGGUGUUCCUCGCGUCGCCCCCGUCGGAUUGAUCCGAUUUGCGUGCGAUUUGG